CUGGAGGUGAUGCAAGGCUGGUGUCCACUCUGGGAGUUACAAAGGCAGAAGCAAGAGGACCUACAGAAAGUAGAUCCUGUGCACCCCACAAAUCUCGAGUCUCUGGAGACUUAAUGAAAAGAAAAGCAUGCUUAGAAGUAGUUCGUGGUGCUCACUACUGAGACGGUGAGAGCCCCAGGCCAGGAGGGACGCCAUCUUGGUCAAAACUGGAUUUUUCUGAGAAACCCAGAUUCCUCCAACCUCCCACAGCCUCCAACUCGCAGCGGGCCUGCCAGACACACAGAAAAUGCUGGAGGGUAUUCUGAGACAGCUUGCGGAGCCCACGCAAACGGAGCCCGGGAUUCCCUGUCUGGGGCCAUCGGAGUUGCUCUCAAAGAGGGUGAUGGCGUGGGGCACACAGGCCGCGUCCAGAGCAAAGUCACGUCACCAGAGAUGCCCCAAAAGUGAGCUGACUGUCGUGACAAGUCCACAAGACAAGGUCCCUCCUCCAGCCACGGACCAGCCAGCGGGGCUCAAAGGGACACAGAUGAUCAGCCUCUUUUAAAAUCUGAAUUCCUACAAGGAGUCCAAAAGGAACCAUGAUGUAUAAAAGCUUCCACCAGCAAAGUAGUUUCUCUUGAACAUGCAAGACACAGGACCACAUGUGCCAAAACCCAACACAAAGGAGAAGACCAUUGUGUUGCAUUAAAAUUGUUUAUGAUAUAGAAUAUCUA